AGAUAUACAUGCACAGACGCAGACCUACAUACCUUCUUUCUCCCCUCUGCUGCCUCCUGCCAAAAAGCGGGACACCAGUGGAGUGCUCGACAGGGACAGGCAUGUAGAAAUGAAGACAGUCUGUGUGGGUCGUAUAUGCAGGACUUGUCCCCACAACAAACCAGCCCCCACCAUCAGCAGACUCAGGUUGCUCACCUUGCGAAGUCGCUCAGGUGAGAACUCCAGUCCCACCACAAAGAGAGUGAAGAAGACGCCUAACUCCCCCAGAGUCUCCACCUGGACCAUAGACUGCAAGGCAGAGAGACAGAGGCCGAAAUGAACAACCAGUGCAACAAACUGCCUCCCUGAGGGCCUCCAGCCUCUGCCUGCUGCUCUCCUUCAUGUUGACCACGUCCCUGUAGUCUCCCUGCAGCGCCCUCUGCAGGCUGUGCACCGCCUGGAACACCAGGUGUUCGCUCUCAUUCAGCUCCUUCUGGAAAACCUCCAGCGUGUGAACCUGAACGCGGGCGAGGAGACAACCUUCAGUCGGCCUGGAUUGAAUUCUGGUUUGACCUGAUUGUUAGUUUUUGCUCAAAUCUAACCAGGCCAUCGGAUCUCAAGUAUGAAAUACGAACAUGGAGGCUAUUAUUGUUGAACUAUUGUGCAAACAGAAUUGUGUCAACACACAGACAAAGACACCACAUUGAAGACUUACAGACGUUGUGUCUCACACACUUUGUGCUUUACCAGUCCAUAAAUAUACAGCUAAACAGUCACUAACAAAUCACUGCAUUACGACCCAAAUAAAGAGCUUUUGG